rnacentral:rRNA from 1 species
CGAACGGGUGAGUAACGCGUGAGGAACCUGCCUCAAAGAGGGGGACAACAGUUGGAAACGACUGCUAAUACCGCACAAGCCCACAGGUCGGCAUCGACCAGAGGGAAAAGGAGCAAUCCGCUUUGAGAUGGCCUCGCGUCCGAUUAGCUAGUUGGUGAGGUAAUAGCCCACCAAGGCGACGAUCGGUAGCCGGACUGAGAGGUUGAACGGCCACAUUGGGACUGAGACACGGCCCAG